CAGAGCCUUCUCACUUAGUUUCUUCACCGACUUUGAGCUCUCUUCUCUCAUCACCGUCGGGCUCUUUCUUCUCAUCUUCGACUUGUUCUUCCUUUCACCAUUGGCCUACACCUUGCUGUACUGGUGCAUCUCUAUAGCUGGAAGUGGGAGUCACCAGAAUCUGUUCCUUCUUUGCUGUCAUCUCUCACUUUUCUGUUCAGGUUUGGCGUCCGUGCGUAUAUUUAGCUUCACUUAUUCUUGCUUCUCAACUGCUGAACGUCUUUCUUAUGUCGUCGACCACACGCUGGUUCUAAGCCGUCACCACUGCACUUAAGGUUGAGGACUAUAGAGUUCUUGAAGAAUUUAAAAGCUCAAAGCCAAGUUUUGGAAUCAAAGAAUGAGCCAAUAAUAUUUUGGGGGAGUAUUCUAUCCUUGUGCUUAAUUGAUGAUAUUUAUGUGUUUACAUGGGAUCAAAAUCUUGUGUUGAUGAAUUUUUGGAUUGAUAGUUGUUAAUUAAAUGUUAGGAGGUGUGGAAGCGGGUUUGAUAUGAUGAUUGUGUUGAUUGGGAGGCGUUUAGGCUAUUUUCUUUAUGAGUUUUUACUUCAUUUACGUAUUUUUCUUAGAUUUUGAGUAUUUUCAUUCUUUGUUUUGUUCGUCUCAACAAAAGAGAAUUUUGCCCUAGCAAAAAGUCUCUCUGUGUUCUUGUCAAAAUUUCAAAGAACACCUUCGCUGCAACAAAAUCUCAUUUCACUCUGACAGUAGAUGCCUCUGUGAUUUUUUAUCAAAAAUUCCAAAGAGCAUCUUCGCUCGAGCGAAACUUUGUUUUCCUGGAGUGAAAGACUAUUCUAUAAAAUGCUUAACCAACUUACAGAUAGCAUCUUUGCUAGAGUGAAACUUGGCUUCGCUGGAGCGAAAUCUUUGGUUAAGUUUAAAAAAAAUCUUAAUUUUUUUAGUUUAAUAAGAAUAAAUUUGUAAAUGUUUGUUUUCUUAAAAAAAAUAAAUUUUUUUUACUAAAAUAUUAUUUUAUUUAAUUACUAUAAAAUAUUUUAUUUUGAAUAAAUUUUUUAUAAAUAUAUAUAUAUAUUAUUUUUAGUUUAUUAUUUUUAUUUUACUAGGAAAAUUCAAAACAAAUUAUAUAUUUUACUGAUUAUUUUAUUUUAAUUGUACUAAAAAACUUUGCAUAUUACUUAAAAAAAGACACUGUGCAUUUUUUUAAUUUUCUUAAAUAAAGUUAAAUUAAAAUAUUUUUUUAUUUUUAUAGUUUUACCCCCUUACAGUUUUGCCCUAAUCAUUUUUUUUUUUCCCUUCCCUUUUCACUUUCUCUAAUCUUCAACAUUUGGCCGCCACUCUUCCUCCUUGUCUGAUGAAUCUUUGCUUCUCGUCCACUUCCAUGUGCAAAGCUUCCAACUCCGGCAUGCUUCACCGUCUUCACUUCCACCUGCUUGUCCAUCGUUAGCUGUCACCACCAAGCAUCGUAGAGCUCUGAAUCUCCAGCCUCAUCAACCACUGUGCUUGUCUAUCUUCCAUCGUCACCCUGUCCUAGUGAAAACUGCAAGAAACUCACCCACUCAGCCGCAACAAGCUCAGCUGUAGCCUCCACGCUCCAUCUCCUUAGCUAUAAAGUUCAGUGAGUUCGCUCAUCCCAGCUAUAACCUCCACCUCCGUCACACAUCCCAGCUAUAAAGUCUCAUUACCCGUACUCAGUCACAACACACACAGCGUUUCAACUUGCCCUGUUCUAUUUCGCAUCUUCUGAAUCUUACUUUUAGAGCUCACAGUCCACACAUCACCAUCACCUCUGUCUUCCCUUUGUUCAGCUUGUCACCAUUGUUGUUCCAGCAUCUCCAGCCGUAUCUUCACUCUCUUCCACCGUCACCUUGCUCUGUUAUCCACUUCUGUACACUUUCUUCACUGUUCACAGUUCCUCUUCUUCGCAUCUUAAACCUUCCUGGUCAGCUGUGUCUUCAACCAUCGUUCACCACCACAUACAGCACCUCCACCUCUGCCAUCUUCUUCAUUUCCUCUUUUCUUCACCUUCGGGCCAUUUCUUUCUCCCUGUACAUUACAGCCCCUGUUCACAGCCUCUCCUCACCACGGCUUUCAUUUAUUUAUUAUUAUUAUUAUUUUCAUUAAUUUCCUGAUCCAGCUUUACCGUAAAUCACUUUCGACCUCCACACAACCAUAGCAUUCUGUCAUUUCCAGCAGCUUCACUUUCAUCUCCCUUAUUUACCACCGUAUCAGCUCUUCUGGCUUCUAUUUUAUUCCACUCACCCAGUCAUUCAUAGUCAUCACGUGCUCUUGUUUCAUUUGUGUUAAUCACCAUUUGACCCUUCAUUAUUACACCUGUGCACGCUGAAUUCCCUUCCUUUCCUAUUGUGCAUAUUUUCGGUUAAGCUCCAGGUAUGUCUUUCCCACACAUUGUGUCUGCUAUGGGAUGUAUAUGCUUCAAAUAACUUGUGAGAGAUGCAAUGGUUGUUGGUAGUUGGAAUUGGUUCUGUUGGAUUUAUGCUCUGAACUUUGAAUUGAAUAUUUAUUGUGCAUAGUAUGAACCCAUCCUUAUCUCAAUGUGAAAUUUAUCUGUGAGUAGUGUUAUUUGUUUUUCAUGAUUAGGUGCUCUGAUUAUUGUGUAUAUUUCUUUGACUUUUUGGAUAAUGGUUAUUUAGCUAAGUUGGCAAGUUGAAAUUUCAAAAUGAGGAUCACUUUGUUUGUACUACUGAGGGUACAAUGGGUUAGUUUUAUAUUUUUUGACUUUACCACUUUUUGGCAUUGAAUCCUACAAUUUUAUUUAUUAUUAUUAUUUUUGUUUUGUCUGCUUAUAUUAAAAGUUGCUUAUUCUUACUUUGUUGUCUGCUCAUGGAUGACAUGUUCUCAUGAUUUGAGUAGGGCCUUUAUUUUGACUUGUUCACUUUUGCAUGUUGGUAUGGCUCUUGUUUCCAUUUGGUUGUCUUUAUUUAAUUUUUGGCAUGUGAUUACUUUUGUGGUGGUUUGUUUAUUGUGACUUACAGUGGCUUGUCUUGGUGUUUAUGUUUUAGCAAUUGGUCACAAGUGUAUAGCUAAAUACAAGACUGCUCCCCCUUCUUCUGCUCAGAAAGCUGCUAAGAAAUUAAAGCAACUAUUCAACAAUGAUAAAUUCAUGAAUCACGCAUGCCAAGACAGAUUUUUCUCUCUUGUGGGAUCCAAGAAUUUUAUUUCUAACUAUUAUUGUGUAAUUUUAUGCUCCAAAGCUGCAUUUCAAACAAUAGUGUGAAGGGGAUGGAUGGUGUAUUUGACAAAUGAAAAUUUUCAAUAUUAUAUCCUUGCUCUAGUUAGGGAAUUUUAGGCAAAUGCAUUUCAUUGCUGCAGUGACACUACGACAAGGAAGUAGUAAUUAAUGCCAAGGUUAUUCAGAAUUAUUAUGGCUUCCCUUCCACUACUAACUGUAUUUAUUGCCAAUACAAGACGAACAUCUUUACACUUGA